rnacentral:rRNA from 1 species
UGUAGUCAUAUGCUUGUCUCAAAGAUUAAGCCAUGCACGUCUAAGUACAUGCCGACUUAAGGCGAAACCGCGAAUGGCUCAUUAAAUCAGUUACGGUUCACUGUAUUCUAACUUCCUACUUGGAUAACUGUGGUAAUUCUAGAGCUAAUACAUGCCUCGGGUUCUCAACUGCGUGCCAGGCAACUGGUUGCAGACGAGACGCACUUAUUAGACCAAGACCAGCCCCGUCAGCAAUGGCGGGCAAUCUGUUGGUGACUCUGGAUAAUUAUCGCAUGACCGCAUGGCCUCGUGCCGGCGGCUAGUACAUCAAGUGUCUGCCUUAUCAACUGUCGAUGGUGGGUUAUACGCCCACCAUGGUUGCAACGGGUAACGGGGAAU